GGUCCUAUAGCUCAGUUGGUUAGAGCACCUGACUCAUAAUCAGGGAGUCCACGGUUCAAGCCCGUGUGGGACCA
rnacentral:tRNA from 1 species